rnacentral:rRNA from 1 species
GCCUACGGGGGGCAGCAGUGGGGAAUAUUGGGCAAUGGGCGCAAGCCUGACCCAGCAACGCCGCGUGAAGGAAGAAGGCUUUCGGGUUGUAAACUUCUUUUAACAGGGAAGAGCAGAAGACGGUACCUGUUGAAUAAGCCACGGCUAACUACGUGCCAGCAGCCGCGGUAAUACGUAGGGGGCAAGCGUUGUCCGGAAUGACUGGGCGUAAAGGGAGUGUAGGCGGCUCAUCAAGUUAGAUGUGAAAUCCCGCGGCUUAACCGCGGAACUGCAUCUAAAACUGGUAAGCUGGAGUGCAGGAGAGG